rfam:Rattus norvegicus chromosome 15, whole genome shotgun sequence.
GGGGAUUUAGCUCAGUGGUAGAGCGCUUGCCUAGGAAGCGCAAGGCCCUGGGUUCGAUCCCCAGCUCA